AGGACGAACGCUGGCGGCGUGCUUAACACAUGCAAGUCGAGCGAGGCCCCUCCUUCGGGAGGGUGUCCUAGCGGCGAACGGGUGAGUAACACGUGGGCAACCUGCCCUCAGCUCUGGGAUAACCCCGGGAAACCGGGGCUAAUACCGGAUACGACCUCCUUAGGCAUCUGAGGUGGUGAAAAGUUUUUCGGCUGAGGAUGGGCCCGCGGCCUAUCAGCUUGUUGGUGGGGUGAUGGCCUACCAAGGCGGUGACGGGUA
rnacentral:rRNA from 1 species